rnacentral:rRNA from 1 species
UAGGGGGCAAGCGUUAUCCGGAUUUACUGGGUGUAAAGGGAGCGUAGACGGCAGCGCAAGUCUGGAGUGAAAUCCCGCGGCUUAACCGCGGAACUGCUUUGGAAACUGUGCAGCUGGAGUGCAGGAGGGGCAGGCGGAAUUCCUAGUGUAGCGGUGAAAUGCGUAGAUAUUAGGAGGAACACCGGUGGCGAAGGCGGCCUGCUGGACUGUAACUGACGUUGAGGCUCGAAAGCGUGGGGAGCAAA